CACAAGGUUCCAUCUUAGGCCCAGUACUCUUCAAUAUCUUCAUAAAUUACUUAGUUGAGGGAAUAGAAGGGGAACUCAUUACAUUUGCAGAUGACACUAAGCUGGCAGGAAGAGCCAACACCCUAGAAGAAAGCUCAGGAUUCAAAAAGAUCUUGACAGAUUAGAACA